CUCCCAGCCUCUUCUCAAUUUUCCCUUCCUCUCCCCUCCCCUCCCCAGAAGGGAGUCACGUGAACAGAGACCAGCGGAGGCUCCAGUGGGAAACAGGAAAGUGCUUCCCACAUGGAAGGAGGUUGUUCUGGCUUCGGAGGCAUCCUGAAGGGAUGAAAUCACAGAAUGUUCUUACGUUGGUGUCACAGAGAAAAAUGAGAUCCUGUAUAUUUCUCUGAUCCUGUCAAAGCUGGACUCCUGCAAAUACACAUGCUUCUUUAGGAUUGUUCAUCAGCUUUACCACUACCGCUAUCUAUGCCCAAGCAAUCUUUCAAAGCCUGGAGCGAAGCUGAGAUGCUGACUGGCUGUUGAGGACCCAACAAGCUUCUGCCUCUGCCAUGUACAUGAGUACUGCCAUGAUUCUGGCUAUCUCCAACAACCCAAGCAACCUUCUGCAGACUGGAGCUGAGAUCUUCACAAGACUGGAGAAAGGGAGGGAGGGACCAAGGUAUGGGCUUGGGUUUUAUUGCAAGUCAACUAGUAUAGCCUCAUUGGCACAUGCUGACAUGGGUUGGUUGGUUGGUUGGUUGAUUGGUUUUUACCAUCUUUUGGAUUUCAGGUAUCCUAAGUUAUGAAAAUAAUUAUUAAAUUAUUGUUUUAUCUUUGAUGCAUAAUUUCUGUUUUGGAGAGGUUUGAGAGGUCAGGGGGAUUGGAGAAAACAGCCAUUCCUCCAUCUUGUUGAUCAUGUGACCAGCAAAGCUUGAGCAUAUAUUCAAAUAAGGAAACAUGAUACACAUAGAGGUUUGGUAUCCAGGGAAGUGUGUUUUGGUGUGAAUUAUGUCCUUAUUAGCACAGUAUAUAAUGUAAUAUGUCCCUAGUUAAAAGAUGUUCUUUAUGGUCAGGAUGUGUGAUUUUUGUCUUUGUAUCCUGGUGGGGAAAUUCUCUCCACCAAUACAGAUCAGCAUCCAAUCUGCAACUUAAGGCAUUAAGAAUGCCUUAAGUGACUUGCCCAGGGUCACACAGCUGAUAUUUGUCAUAGCAGGAUAUCAAAGUUUAGUUUCAUCUCUAAUAUUUUAUGUUACCAAAUCUCUAUCUACUAUACCAUUCUGCCUCUCAAAAAGUAUAUUACUUUUUCAAAUUUGUUUGAUACAUAACCAGUCCAGUUUUCCUCUUAUGACAUUCUGGGUGAAGAGUAUCAAUGAAGGGAAGGGGACAUAUAUUCUUCCUCUAUGGCUCCUCAUAAAUCAAGAGGACAUUUCUCUGAAGGUUUAACAUUGAUCCCAAUUCAUAUAUCUGAGAACUAGACAGAAUAUGAACUGUAUGUUUAUCCUAUCAACUCUCUCUAAAAUGUUUAGUAAAAUGAUAGGAGAAGAAAAUAGUGGAUGUUUUCCUAUUAAGGAGUGAGGCAAAAUUAGGCUAUAGUAGUCAAAUACUAAAUAUUGUAGUCAAAUAAUAAGCAAGGAAGAUGAUUAAAUACGGGGUCCCUAAGUAAAAAUACUAGAGGUUUUCAUUGCAAAGUAACUAUUUCUCUAUAAGUUGGAGGGCUCAGUAACUUUUCAAAACAACAAUAAUAAUGAAGAGGAUGUCUCCCAUGCUAAAGGUAACAAAUCCACAUAGCUAUAUUUUGUCCUAUUUGCCAGGGUCAAAUCUGAUGAGCUAGCAUUUUUCUGACUUCUUUUUCAUGGUGGGUCAUGGUCAGGAAAUGGACCUAACUAAAUUAUUUGUCCUGUUUAUGCAUUAAAUCCAAGCCAAUGCAUCACUAAGAAGGAAGGAGAAAGGCAAAACCAAUAAAUACUGUACAAGGAAACUUGUCAUGUAUGUUGGAGGAUCUACAAAACUGAGAGAGCUGAGGUCACAGAGACCUAAAAUUGGUGACUAAAUGAUUUGUUGUCAACAAAGCUAUAAAAACCCUGGAGGCUUUUACUGGAUAGCAGCUAGUGGCCAAGUGGACUUGGAUUUGGAUCCAGGCUCUAAAUAGCUGGUCAUAGAGGAAAGAGAAGGAAGGAAUUCAGUUGGUCUUGAGUUUUUCCUUCCUACUGUAGAACUAUAAACUCUCAAGAUCAAGUACAGGGCAGAAAAAUCUCUGUUGCAGGAAAUCCUGGCUUGGCUUUUGUUCUCUAAAGAUUGCCUGCUGAGCGCCUUCUUAUCCUUUUUCUCUUCAGACACCUGGGGUCCAUGUGCAGUCUCUUACUGAUUUUAUCACAAAUUUACAAUGAUAUUCUGUUGUUAUUAUGAUAGUUUGGUUACUGUGAGUCAUGAUAAAAGCAAAACUAAAAUCACAGCAGUUGUUUGCGAGAAUAGAUCACGAUGCUCAUAUGGAAAGGAAAUCCACCGAUGUGAGUUAACUUCAGUUCUUCCAAUAGGGUCAGGAAUUGGGGUUGGGAAUGCAAAUGCAGAUGGAGAAGUCUAACCACACUUGAUUUCAGGUAUAGGCCAUUCAUCCUGGAUGGUGUUCCUCUGAACAAACAUAAUAAUGAGAGAUGUAUUCACAGGAUCAUAGAAUGUUAAGUUCAUCUAGUCCAACUCCUUUAUCUGCCAGAGAAUUAAAAGACUUGGCCAAAUUUAGCAGCUCAGUAGUUGCCAAGCCAGCACUAUAUCCCAAGUCUCCUGAAUCUUAGUCUAGAGCACUGUAAUAUUAAUAAUAAUUGUUAUUGUUAUGAUGCUAGCGCUGCUACUGAUGAUGAUGAUGAAGAAAUUUACAUACCAUUUUAAAGUUCACUAAGCAACUUACAUGUACUGUUGUUGUUAGUGUCGUUUAAUUGUUCAGUUCUCUCUGAUUCUUUAUGGUCCGAUAAACAAUAGCAUGCCAGGGCCUUCUAUCCUCCACUAUCUCUCAAAGUCUGUCCAAUUUCAUGUUAAUUUUUUCCAUGAUACUAUUCAUUUUAUCCUCUGUCAUCCCCUUUUCCUUUUGCCUUCAAUCUUUCACUCUGGUGUUAUUACAUAUACAGGGUUUCCCAAAAGUAUGGUUUUAAGUUAUUAAAGUUUAAAAUUACACUAAAACUUUAGGGCUCCCUGUAUUAUCUUAUUUGAGUCUCACAACAACCCUAUAAAGUAGUUACUACUUUAUUAUUAUCCCUAUUUUACAAAUGAGAAAACUAAGGCUCAGACUUGCUCAUGGUCACAUAGCCAAUUAAUUAAGUAUCAGAUAUAGAUUCAAGCACAGGUUUUUGUGACUUCAAGUCCAGCAAUGUAUCAUCUUCAUUGGCCUUCUUCUUUCCACUAUUCCACAUACUUAAUCAAAUUCCUCUGCUUCUUUGAUUUGCCCCUACUUGCCUAUCCAAUCUUAUUUCCUCACACAUUUCAAAACACAAGCUUAACUCUAGGGAGGCUUGGCUCUUCACUGUCUUUCACAUAUUGUACUCUCUUUUGAUAUUAAGCAGUGAUUUUUUGGGCUGCCAUUGAUAUAGGCAGGAUGAAUUUUUAAAAGAUAUUGCGGGGGCAGCUAGGUGGCACA